CCCGACUGAGCCUCCCAAAGUGCUGGGAUUAGAGGCUUGAGCCACCCUACUCGGCUCAAUACUGACAUUAUUCUCAUAAUGGUUAUAUUGCUUCAAUGUUAUUGGUUAUGAAACUAAAAUGAUUCAAGUGUGAAAUUUCUAAUUAUUCAAGUUUAAAUAAUGAAUACAUUAGGUAACGUUACAAGGUUAUUGCAGGAGGCAUUUAUUAACUAAACAAAUUUGUGUUUUCAACACAUGUGGGUGCUCUGCUCUCAUGAACGGAGAUGUAAGAAAGUUAAGUUAGGUCCACAUGAUAAACAUAUCAAAUGAAUUAAAAUAUUUCUGUGUAGAGUUUUCCCCUAGGUAUAGGAACAAUUUACUGUGGGCUAUAAUAACCCCAGGAUGUGUAGACAGAAGACACAUGGUGUCUGUGUAUACUAAACUCUAAUGAGGUUACAAACCACUUCUACUCUAUUCCAGAUCUAUUGAGGCUCCUACUUAUCUUGGUUGGUAUUUGACCCAGUGGACCUCAGAUGCAUGGAGAGUCAACAUUUGUCAUGUUUUUGGGCUCUACCUGGACCUGCCAACCCAGUUCCUGUGCGCCCCUCAGAAGAAUUCAGCCUGCAGGAGGACAGCUUUGACCCCUGUGAUUUCAUCUCUGCCCCAACCAAUCAGCAGCAAGCACCCAUUCCCUGGCAGUCCCACCCCUUCCCCCAAACUGCCUUUGAAAAACCCCUACCUAGGAGCCUUAGACAAUAUUGAUUUGAGUACUAACUCCAUCUUCCAUGUGGCAUGGCUGGCCUUAUGUCUAUUAAACUCUUUCUUUACUGCAAUACCCUGGUCUUUAUUUGUGCAGCAGGCAGGAAGAACCCCAUGGGUGGUUACAGCCUGACACUGCCUCUCCCUUUUAUGGUUGCAACAAAACAACCAACCAGCAUUUCUUCCUAAUAAGAAACCACUGACCAAGGAGUGGUUCUGGGUAGUCCAUGGAGGAUGUACAGUAAGGGUUUCUGUGACCUCUGUUUCACCUUUUGACAUUAGAGCACUGAAAAUCCCACCCUUGGAUCAUGCUAAUGCCACCAUUUUUGG
rnacentral:lncRNA from 1 species